rnacentral:rRNA from 1 species
UUUGGAGGGCAAGUCUGGUGCCAGCAGCCGCGGUAAUUCCAGCUCCAAUAGCGUAUAUUAAAGUUGUUGCAGUUAAAAAGCUCGUAGUUGAAUUUCGGGGUUCUACCGUUGGUCAGGCUUUGUCUGUACUGAUGUGUAGAAUUUCUACCUUCUGGGGAACCAUCAUGUUAUUAAUUUAGCGUGGUGGGAAACCAGGACCUUUACCUUGAAAAAAUUAGAGUGUUUAAAGCAGG